rnacentral:rRNA from 1 species
UACGAAGGGGGCUAGCGUUGUUCGGAAUUACUGGGCGUAAAGCGCACGUAGGCGGAUAUUUAAGUCGGGGGUGAAAUCCCGGGGCUCAACCCCGGAACUGCCUUCGAUACUGGGUAUCUUGAGUUCGGAAGAGGUGAGUGGAAUUGCGAGUGUAGAGGUGAAAUUCGUAGAUAUUCGCAGGAACACCAGUGGCGAAGGCGACUACCUGGCCUGUUCUUGACGCUGAGGCGCGAAAGCUAGGGGAGCAAACGGG